GACCCUGAUGAUGAUGAACAUAAAACUUUCGUUCUCCUGAGGCUAUGAAUGCUGAUAAUCAUUGGAGACCUGAACUGAAGGGUU
rfam:Cucumis melo, WGS project CAJI01000000 data, contig: 11547